rnacentral:tRNA from 1 species
GGAGAGGUGCUGGAGUGGCCGAUCAGGCGCGCCUGGAGAGCGCGUAGGGGGAAACCCCUCGUGGGUUCGAAUCCCACCCUCUCCGC